AUCGCUUCUCGGCCUUUUGGCUAAGAUCAAGUGUAGAAGUUGUACGUACUCUUUAUCAGAUCUUGGGUUUUGUGAUGAUCAGCAAUGUGUAAACAGCUGCCCAUACAAUAGCUUGAAAUUACAGCAGAUACCAGCAAAAUUGUGUAUCUG
rnacentral:snRNA from 1 species